UACGUAGGGGGCAAGCGUUGUCCGGAAUCAUUGGGCGUAAAGAGCUCGUAGGCGGCUUGUCGCGUCGAAUGUGAAAUCUCAGGGCUCAACUCUGACAUUGCAUUCGAUACGGGCAGGCUAGAGUUCGGUAGGGGAGACUGGAAUUCCUGGUGUAGCGGUGAAAUGCGCAGAUAUCAGGAGGAACACCGGUGGCGAAGGCGGGUCUCUGGGCCGAUACUGACGCUGAGGAGCGAAAGCGUGGGGAGCGAACAGG
rnacentral:rRNA from 1 species